GACGAACGCUGGCGGCGUGCUUAACACAUGCAAGUCGAGCGGUAAGGCCCUUUCGGGGGUACGACGAGCGGCGAACGGGUGAGUAACACGUGGGUGACCUGCCCUCAGCUCUGGGAUAAGCCUGGGAAACCGGGUCUAAUACCGGAUAUGACUCCAUGACGCAUGUUGUGGGGUGGAAAGCCUUGUGCGGCUGAGGAUGGGCCCGCGGCCUAUCAGCUUGUUGGUGGGGUGAUGGCCUACCAAGGCGACGACGGGUAGCCGGCCUGAGAGGGCGACCGGCCACACUGGGACUGAGACACGGCCCAGACUCCUACGGGAGGCAGCAGUGGGGAAUCUUGCGCAAUGGGCGAAAGCCUGACGCAGCGACGCCGCGUGAGGGAUGACGGCCUGG
rnacentral:rRNA from 1 species